AUUGAACGCUGGCGGCAGGCCUAACACAUGCAAGUCGAGCGGUAACAGUCCUUCGGGAGCUGACGAGCGGCGGACGGGUGAGUAACGCGUAGGAAUCUACCCAGUAGCGGGGGAUAGCCCGGGGAAACUCGGAUUAAUACCGCAUACGCCCUAAGGGGGAAAGCAGGGGAUCUUCGGACCUUGUGCGAUUGGAUGAGCCUGCGUUGGAUUAGCUAGUUGGUAGGGUAAAGGCCUACCAAGGCGACGAUCCAUAGCUGGUCUGAGAGGAUGAUCAGCCACACUGGGACUGAGACACGGCCCAGACUCCUACGGGAGGCAGCAGUGGGGAAUAUUGGACAAUGGGGGCAACCCUGAUCCAGCCAUGCCGCGUGUGUGAAGAAGGCCUUCGGGUUGUAAAGCACUUUAAGUAGGGAGGAAGGCUCUGUGGCUAAUAUCCACGGGGAUUGACGUUACCUACAGAAUAAGCACCGGCUAACUCCGUGCCAGCCGCGGCGGUAAUAC
rnacentral:rRNA from 1 species